rnacentral:rRNA from 1 species
AUUGAACGCUGGCGGCAUGCUUUACACAUGCAAGUCGAACGGUAACAGGCCGCAAGGUGCUGACGAGUGGCGAACGGGUGAGUAAUGCAUCGGAACGUGCCCAGUCGUGGGGGAUAACGCAGCGAAAGCUGCGCUAAUACCGCAUACGAUCUAUGGAUGAAAGCGGGGGACCGUAAGGCCUCGCGCGAUUGGAGCGGCCGAUGUCAGAUUAGGUAGUUGGUGGGGUAAAGGCUCACCAAGCCAACGAUCUGUAGCUGGUCUGAGAGGACGACCAGCCAAGCUGGGACUGAGACACGGCCUAGCCUCCUACGGGAGGCAGCAGUGGGGAAUUUUGGACAAUGGGCGCAAGCCUGAUCCAGCAAUGCCGCGUGCAGGAAGAAGGCCUUCGGGUUGUAAACUGCUUUUGUACGGAACGAAACGGUCCUGGUUAAUACCCGGGGCUAAUGACGGUACCGUAAGAAUAAGCACCGGCUAACUACGUGCCAGCCGCCGCAGUAACAC